rnacentral:lncRNA from 1 species
CUCAGGAGCUAGGUGAAUGGGUUUAAACAUUUGCACUGAGAGGCAAAAUGGCCACAUUUAACUGGGAUAUGGCAUUCUUCUAGGAAUACUUGAUUAGCAAAGGAAGAAUGCCUUAAGUAAGUAUGUGCACCACUCCAGUAAACACACUGCACAUGCAGUUCCUCCCAAGCGCUGGCAGGCUGCUGCAUGUACAGAUUGCCAACGUGUAAAACCCCAAGGCAAAGGCCAAGCUGUGCACUUGUCUCCGGUUAUCCACUUGGCCCUCUUCCGAGUAUGCUUUACUUCUAUUUAUUCCUGCCCUAACAUUUUUGAUAAACUUUCACUCCUGCUGUAAAACUUGUCUCCAUCUUUCACUGUGUCCGAUACCUUUCAGCGGAAUUCUUUCUUCUGAGGAUGCAAGAACUGAGGUUGCUGCAGACCCGUACCGAUUCACAACUGCUAACAGCGUUUGGCAAAUUCUUGGAAGUAUCAGCAAAAGUAUGAAUCUCUGGACAGUGGAUGUAGGCUACAGGAAGAAGAAAGCGUUCAAACUGUGUGAUUGA